CCGGCUCUGAGUCUCAGCCCACAGACACUCGGACACUCGUCGGCCCGCCCUGCAUAGAUACAGGCAUCGUCACCAGCCACGGCAAUGGAUCCCGUCCACCUCCCACCCGGCCACUCCAGACCCAAAUUCAGCACUGGCUUCAGCCUCCUGCCAUUCUUGCUGGGUCUCAGGAGGGAACCGGGCCAGCCAGGUGCUGUCUGGGACUGUAGGCUCUGAGCCUGGUCCCUGCUCAGUUCCAGCAGCCAGUGGGCCAGGGGUGCUCAGCUGAGGACCCCCACUCCAUCCAGCCUGCCGUGGGGCAGCCGGCCUGGCCUGAUGCUGGCUCAGACAGACUCAUGAGGAAUCUGAGCUCUGAAAACCGCAGCUCCGAG
rnacentral:lncRNA from 1 species